UCGAACGAGAUCUUCGGAUCUAGUGGCGGACGGGUGAGUAACACGUUGGUACCUACCCCGAAGUGGGGAAUAACUGCCCGAAAGGGUGGCUAAUACCGCAUAAUACCGUAAGGUUAAAGCAUUUAUGCGCUUCGGGAGGGGCCUGCGUCCCAUUAGCUAGUUGGUAGGGUAAUUGCCUACCAAGGCGACGAUGGGUAGCUGGAUCGAGAGGUUGACCAGCCACACUGGGACUGAGAUACGGCCCAG
rnacentral:rRNA from 1 species